UAUUCCUGGCUCAGGAUGAACGCUGGCGGCGUGCUUAACACAUGCAAGUCGAACGAAGCAACCAUGAAGCCUAGCGAUUGGUUGACUGAGUGGCGGACGGGUGAGUAACGCGUGGGUAACCUGCCUCAUACAGGGGGACAACAGUUAGAAAUGACUGCUAAUACCGCAUAACCCGCUAGGGCCGCAUGGCCCGGACGGAAAAAGGAGCAAUCCGGUAUGAGAUGGACCCGCGUCUGAUUAGCUGGG
rnacentral:rRNA from 1 species